GAGGGUAUAGCUCAGUGGUAGAGCAUAUGCUUAGCAUGCAUGAGGUCCUGGGUUCAAUCCCCAGUACCUCCA
rnacentral:tRNA from 2 species